GUCUAUGGCCACACCACCCUGAACGCGCCAGAUCUCGUCUGAUCUCGGAAGCUAAGCAGGGUCAGGCCUGGUUAGUACUUGGAUGGGAGAAUAACCAAAGCAAUUCUGGGCAUUAAACACG
ensembl:rRNA 5S_rRNA 5S ribosomal RNA